rnacentral:rRNA from 1 species
AGGACGAACGCUGGCGGCGUGCUUCAUACAUGCAAGUCGAGCGGAAAGGCCCUUCGGGGUACUCGAGCGGCGAACGGGUGAGUAACACGUGAGCAACCUACCCCUGGCUCUGGGAUAACUCCUCGAAAGAGGUGCUAAUACCGGAUACGACUCCUGUCGACAUCGUCGGGAGUGGAAAGUUUUUUCGGCCAGGGAUGGGCUCGCGGCCUAUCAGCUUGUUGGUGAGGGUAACGGCCCACCAAGGCUUCGACGGGUA